rnacentral:rRNA from 1 species
CCUACGGGUGGCUGCAGUGGGGAAUAUUGGACAAUGGGGGCAACCCUGAUCCAGCCAUGCCGCGUGUGUGAAGAAGGCCCUCGGGUUGUAAAGCACUUUCAGUGAGGAAGAACGCCUGGUGGUUAAUACCCAUCAGGAAAGACAUCACUCACAGAAGAAGCAGCGGCUAACUCCGUGCCAGCAGCCGCGGUAAUACGGAGGGUGCGAGCGUUAAUCGGAAUUACUGGGCGUAAAGCGCGCGUAGGUGGCUUGAUAAGCCGGUUGUGAAAGCCCCGGGCUCAACCUGGGAACGGCAUCCGGAACUGUCAAGCUAGAGGGCAGGAGAGGAAGGUAGAAUUCCCGGUGUAGCGGUGAAAUGCGUAGAGAUCGGGAGGAAUACCAGUGGCGAAGGCGGCCUUCUGGACUGACACUGACACUGAGGUGCGAAAGCGUGGGUAGCAAACAGGAUUAGAUACCCUUGUAGUC